AAAUUCUAUUGGCAGGGGAGAUACCACGAUGGCGAAGGUGGUUUUCCCAGGAUGAGGCUUGGCUGUUGCUCUCCGGAUAUGCUGACCUCUGUGAUUUCUCCAAAUGUGGGAAACUCAACUGCAAAAUUUGUGGUAGUGGGGGGCUGCGUUCACUCUUU